rnacentral:rRNA from 1 species
AUUGAACGCUGGCGGCAUGCCUUACACAUGCAAGUCGAACGGUAACGGGCCUUCGGGUGCCGACGAGUGGCGGACGGGUGAGUAAUACAUAGGAACGUGCCCGAUCGUGGGGGAUAACGGGGCGAAAGCUUUGCUAAUACCGCAUACGAUCUACGAAUGAAAGCCGGGGACCGCAAGAGCUUACGCGGGCGUAGCGGCCGAUUGCAGAUUAGCUAGUUGGUGGGAUAAAAGCUUACCAAGCCGACGAUCUGUAGCUGGUCUGAGAGGAUGAUCAGCCACACUGGAACUGAGACACGGCCCAGACUCCUACGGGAGGCAGCAGUGGGGAAUUUUGGACAAUGGGCGCAAGCCUGAUCCAGCCAUGCCGCGUGCAGGAUGAAGGCCUUCGGGUUGUAAACUGCUUUUGUACGGAACGAAAAGCCUUCUUUUAAUACAGGAGGGUCAUGACGGUACCGUAAGAAUAAGCACCGGCUAACUACGUG